AAACGAGGUAAUGAUCCUGGAGCCUA
rnacentral:piRNA from 1 species